AAGAAUUGCCUGGCAAUUAUGGAAGCGAAAACCUUUUAUCUUCAAUCCACAGGUGUCGGGUGCAGCUGCUGUGUAACCACCCACCAAAGGAUUUAUCAAGUCAGCUGGAGCAUCCACAGAUGUAUAAUCUCUUGGGAGUCAUCUGGCUGCAUGUGAUUUUAUACAUCUGUCAGCUUCAUCAAGUAUCCUAAUGCAAAAUCCAGCACUCAGCAACAUUAUGUGGCUUUGUGAUGCUCCCUGGGAGACUUCAGAUCCAUAAACCAGUGAAUGGAUUACAAUGAGAUAUAAAUACAGUAUUUUCAUGGAUGACCUAGAAUCCUGCUCUGUUAUUAUUCUUGUUAUGUAAAGAGAAACUGGUACCCAUUUUUCUCUACCCAGAACUCUGAAUCUUUUGCAUCAGAUGAAUAAACCAAGGCAUGGAAAGGUUAAGUAACUGGCCAAAGUCUUACAGAAGACCAAUGACAAAGCCCAAAUAGGACCCAAUCCCCAGCUCUAAGGCCUGGUCUACAGUAUGAGUUUGUCGGAUUUAGCAGCGUUAAAUCGAAUUAACCCUGCACCCGUCCACACAAUGAAGCCAUUUUUUUCGACAUAA